UUCAAUUUUUCGUUUGCAUUUUUUUUUAAUUAAUUUUCUUGCGUACUUAACUGAAUUAUUUCUUUUCUUUGCAGGAACUUUUAGUUAUUUCCACCCUUGAAGUUGAUUGCAGAAUUUUAGCUUGGGGGUCAUCGCUUGAUUUUACUGCAAAUUAGGGAAGUUUUCAGUCCAAUUGUUUUAUUUUGUUUCUUAUUUAUUUAUUUAUUUUAUUUUUAUUUGCAUUAUAGUGUUUUCUGACAUUGGGGACAAUGUCCAGUUUAAGUGUGGGGGUAGACAUCUCUAGAAUUUCAUUUGUUUCCAUGUUGUUGCUUUUUGUUUUCUUAAUUAGUUUUGUUUUCAUUAAAAAAAAAAAAAAAUCGGAAAAUUUAAAAAUCCAAAAAUAUUGUCUUGUUUCCCUUAUUGUUUUGAAUUAGAUUUUUGUUAGUUUCCCGACCCAAUGAUAUAAUUGGAUCAAAUUCGAACCAUGAUCAUCAAGAACUUAGUUAACAUGUGUUUUGUGAAAUUCCUUAUUCUCUUGUUAGAUUUGUACAUGUUUGACCAUCUUUGAAAAACCAAAUGCACAUAGCCUUGUUAAUGUGAAACUAAAGUAUGACUUAAAGCUUCAUAUGUGAAUUUAGUGACCAUAUACAUCCUAUGUGAGUUUUUGAGCCUAUUGAAAGUGUGCAUUUUUCAUACACUCCUAUUUUUUUAUGUGUGAUGAACUUAUGUGAGAUACAUCUCUAGAACUUGCGUAACGAUCUUUCAAAAUGUUUGUCAUUGAUUGCAUGAAUUUGGAAAUGAUAGAGGCAUUAGGUUUACCACUAUGGCCCAAAUAACCAUGUUUCCCAAAGAAAAAUGAUAUCAUUAGAUUGCCAAUUUGAGCCGUGUAUGUUGAGCCUUUUAUUUCUUAUCACCAGAUAUGUCUACCCUUAUGCCUGAAACAUUUUUCCUUACCCUUUCCAAGCAAGCUAGUGAGCAAUGCGGGAUUGUCUUAUGAGAAAUGUUUGUGAAGUACUUUGAAGGUGUCUGGCAAAAGAAUAAGUGUAGAGGUAUUUCAUGUUUGUAUUUAAAAAAAAAAAAAAAAAAAAAAAAAAAAAAAAAAAAAAAAAGAAAGAAAGAUUGUAUACAAAGAAAAUAAAAAGUUUUUAAAGUUUCAGUUUAAGGGUAUGGUUGGAGGUGCUAGAAGAAUCGCUGGAAAAAUUGAGUUCUUAUAAAUCUAAAC
rnacentral:lncRNA from 1 species